rnacentral:rRNA from 1 species
GACGAACGCUAGCGGCGGGCUUAAUACAUGCAAGUUUAGGGGUUCAGCAAUGGACACCGGCGGACGGGUGCGUAACACGUAUGCAACCUGCCCUUUACUGGAGGAUACUCCGGAGAAAUUCGGCACAACACUCCAUAUACUCAUACUUUCGCAUGGGAGAAUGAGGAAAGGUUACGGUAAAGGAUGGGCAUGCGUCUGAUUAGCUAGUUGGCGAGGUAACGGCUCACCAAGGCGACGAUCAGUAGCUGGUCUGAGAGGAUGAUCAGCCACACUGGCACUGAGAUACGGGCCAGACUCCUACGGGAGGCAGCAGUAGGGAAUAUUGGUCAAUGGGCGAAAGCCUGAACCAGCCACGCCGCGUGCAGGAAGAAGGUCCGUCUGGAUGUAACUGCUUUGCCAAGGGAUAAAGAGAGGCGUAUACG